AACGCUAGCUACAGGCUUAACACAUGCAAGUAGAGGGGCAGCAUAGAGAAGCUUCGGCUUAUUUAGAUGGCGACCUGCGAAUGGGUGAGUAACACGUAUCCAACCUGGCUGUUACUGGAGGAUAGCCUCCCGAAAGGGAAAGUAAGACUCCAUAGAAUGAUUGCAAGACAUCUUGUGAUGAUUAAAGGUUACGGUAACAGAUGGGGAUGCGUCCCAUUAGGCAGUUGGCGGGGUAACGGCCCACCAAACCGACGAUGGGUAGGGGUUCUGAGAGGAAGGUCCCCCACAUUGGAACUGAGACACGGUCCAAACUCCUACGGGAGGCAGCAGUGAGGAAUAUUGGUCAAUGGGCGGAAGCCUGAACCAGCCAAGUAGCGUGCAGGAUGACGGCCCUAUGGGUUGUAAACUGCUUUUAUACAGGAAUAAAGUUAGCCACGUGUGGUUAUUUGUAGGUACUGUAUGAAUAAGGACCGGCUAAUUCCGUGCCAGCAGCCGCGGUAAUACGGAAGGUCCAGGCGUUAUCCGGAUUUAUUGGGUUUAAAGGGAGCGUAGGCCGUCUGUUAAGCGUGUUGUGAAAUGUAGAUGCUCAACAUCUGAAUUGCAGCGCGAACUGGCAGACUUGAGUGUGCGCAACGUAGGCGGAAUUCGUGGUGUAGCGGUGAAAUGCUUAGAUAUCACGAAGAACUCCGAUUG
rnacentral:rRNA from 1 species